GGAUUUUUUAUGCCAUAUUCCUAGAAGCAUUUUUACAUCUAAUCUAUUAUCAAUUGGUCAGUGUUAUGAAUCAAGGGAGCAAUGAAGAUAAAAUUAAUACAAACCAAAGCAUGACUAUCCCUAUGAAAUACAGAUGAGUAUCUUCAAGACACUGCACUCCUGACUCAGGAAUCAAAGGACUGUGCCACCACUUCCAACCUCCUGGAGCUUUCCUCAUGGAAGAAGUAUCCCUAAAGAUGCAGCAGCAGGACCAAGCCUCCGGCUGUGACCCAGAAACCAAGUGCAUGAAUAACCCUAAGGAAUAUAGAUGAGAAUCUUCAAGACACUGCACUCCUGAUUCAGGGAUCAAAGGACUGUGCCACCACUUCCAACCUCCUAGAGCUUUCUUCAUGGAAGAAGUAUCCCAAAAGAUGCAGCAGCAGUUUAUCCUGAAACCAAGCCUCUUGUCUGUGUCCCAGAAACAAAGUGGUGACUUUGCUUUUCUUUCAUUCACCAAAAAUGCUCAUUUCAUGAGCAUAAAUUUUGUACAAAGGCAAAGAUCCAAACUUCCAGCCAAAUGAAACAUUUUUCUUUCAAAAUUUCCAGGGCUUUUAAAAAAAGAAUAGCAUUUUAGUGAAAUUUUUACAAAUCAGCAAUAGGCAUGGCUUUCCUAUAACCAGCAGCAAUUAGCAAUACAGUAGCAACACUGUUUCUCCUUGCUUCAGCUUUUUCCCCCACUUUUAUGUCUUGCUUAGAGCAGGUCAAAGGCAAAGACAAGGCUGUAGAUGCUUCAGGGCUUUCCUGGUUCUCUAAUACUGUUGGUAGAAAUCCUAAGUCUUGACUAGCAGCUGUGAAUGUCUCAAGUGUGUAAGGAAAACCUUCACACAUUCAUGCCAGUCAGGAAUACCUAUGGAGAGGAGCAUUCUGCUCUGAUUACUUAGAAAAGUAAACAACUGUUUCCAAAUUUACCUAGUAUUACCAAGGGAACCUGUAUUGGGGCCUGGUGGUCUGAUCCACCGUGGCACAUUGUGAUUGGGUUAAAAGUCUGUAAAAUGUAUGGUUUCUUCUGCUAUAAGCAAGUUUGCAGUUGCUCGCCACAAGUCUGCAUUUACCCAACUCUCAGGGCCCGGUUUAUGGCUCUGUAGGCUCUUACCUGUGACUGAGCUAGCCUGGCACACACCCCUACAAAUACACUCCACUGUUCCCUCACAUGGUCCCAUUGGACAAAGGAGGUUGUCAGUGAUAAGUGUCAGAAGACUGUGAUGGCCCACCUGGACACUGAUGCUGAUUAGCAUGUGAGGACUAACAUGAUUUCUACAAAGAUUUUCCUUAGCCCCUAAUAUGAUAUAAAUUGUGUAAAAUCAUUCUCUCUUACUCACCCUGUAAUGUCAUUUCUAGUGUAUUAACACUGACGUUCAAUGCAAGGCCUCUGUAAUUUACCAUCUCCC